rnacentral:rRNA from 1 species
UACGAAGGGGGCUAGCGUUGCUCGGAAUUACUGGGCGUAAAGCGCACGUAGGCGGCUCUUUAAGUCGGGGGUGAAAUCCUGGAGCUCAACUCCAGAACUGCCUUCGAUACUGUAGAGCUUGAGUUCGGGAGAGGUGAGUGGAACUGCGAGUGUAGAGGUGAAAUUCGUAGAUAUUCGCAAGAACACCAGUGGCGAAGGCGGCUCACUGGCCCGAUAAUGACGCUGAGGCACGAAAGCGUGGGGAGCAAACAGG